UCCCUGGAGGACUAGUGGUUAGGCCACAGCGCUCUCACCUCUGUGGCUCGGGGUCGAUUCGCGGCCAGGGAA
rnacentral:tRNA from 1 species